AAUGGUUGGUGGCGCGAUGAUCCCUUUCACGGGCGACGUCGUCAUGCACAUUUUGCGUAACCGCAGUGCAGAUACCUGAGCCCGCCACCGAGCGGGCUUUUUUUU
rfam:Pantoea dispersa strain SA5 contig_1, whole genome shotgun sequence.